UACAGAGGGUGCGAGCGUUGUCCGGAAUCACUGGGCGUAAAGGGCGCGUAGGUGGCGCUCCAAGUCUGUGGUGAAAGCUCGAUGCUCAACAUCGAGUCGGCCAUAGAGACUGGAGGGCUCGAGCACUGUAGGGGCAGAUGGAAUUCCGGGUGUAGCGGUGGAAUGCGUAGAGAUCCGGAAGAACACCGGUGGCGAAGGCGGUCUGCUGGGCAGUUGCUGACACUGAGGCGCGACAGCGUGGGGGAGCAAACAGGG
rnacentral:rRNA from 1 species